AUGCUCAACGCAUGUCCCAUGACCCAGAGGAGCUGUGACUUUGGGUUUCCAAGAAGCCUUAAUAAGGGUUGUAACUCAAGAAAGAAUUCUCCAGAUUUUACUUCUCUUCUCUGGAUUCAUCAAAAGGACUUGAUCCUGCCGUGGUCACAGCGGGGCCCAGACUCCGGAGUCAGGCACUUGAGAAGCACAUAUGAAUAAGGUGUGUCCAAGGCCUGCAAGAAGCUUCCGCCUGAUGACUCUUCAAAUCAAUAUUGAAACG
rnacentral:lncRNA from 1 species